GAAGGGGGGUCCGCCCCGGCUCCGGGGUGGUGGCCCAGAGAGGGGUCCCGGGAGCCUGAGUUCCAAGCGGGGGCACGAGGAGCGGAGGGUGCUGCAGGCUUCCCGCCGGGAUCACCGGUCCCGGGUCGUCUGCGGGCGCAGAAUCGGGAGGGACACUUCGGGGUGUCGAAGCCUGGGGAGGGUCCCCGGCCGCGCGGCCGACCCCUGGGUCCCGGCUGGAAGGAGAGGGGAGGAAGGAGCUCUGACGACUCACAAACCCAGGACUACAAAUCCAGUUGGAAACCAAGUGCUUUAGUGGCAAAAGGAGUUUCCCAACCAUCGUCUCAGGCGGCAAGCCCAGAAGUCUGGCCCUGGAGCCGCCACCCGGGCCCUUGUCCCCGUCCACCCGGAAGCCGGCCUCGCCGUCUGCACGGGGUCAGGUCCUGCAGGAACCAGGCUCACUGUGUGAAGAGUGUUUCCCCGUCGUCCUGGCUGCUCUGCCCGGUGACCUUGAGCCUCCAGGCCUCCUCCCUGGCCCUGAGACUCUGCUGGAAAGUGGAUUAUAAAGAGAAUAGAUCUGAGGAUGAGGCAAGACGCAGAAAGAGCGUCGGUGAGCAGUGACCUCUCCUCCCAUGCUGGGCCAGGCACCGUGAUCCAAAGACUUGUGGAUCCUGUGACUGAACAUUCCAGAGUAAAGACUUCAGGACGGGGGUCCAGGGUCGCGCUGGAGGGGAGAGGGCGAAGGAAGAGACGCGGAUGGAGAAGAGCAGAGCCCACCCCGCUGCCCGGGACUCUGACCUUGCUCUCAAACAGCACCUUGACCCUUCGAGGUCUCAGCCUUGACGGGACCCCUGCCCGGCUCUCAGAGGGGACGAGUCCACAUCUCAGACCAGACUGGUAACGUUUUCCUUUAAAACAAAUAGUUGUACGUGUGUAUGUCCGUGGUGCCUCAUCUGACCCUUGGCUCCAGGCCUGACUGUACCCAUGAAUAGCGCAGUGAGAACAGUGGCAAUGACCUUGAGAGUAAGAAGCAUUUAUUGAGCACUUGCUGGAUACCAAGCUCUGUGCCACAGACUUUAACCAAGCACAUUCACUAAAUGUUUAUUGAGAAACUAGUUAGUGCACAGAUCGGGGCUUAUGCUGGGGAUUCAUGGGAAUUCAACCACCACGGACAAGACUCAGAAGGAGCCUGGGGUCGCAGACCUUUCAUUCUGUGGACAGACUUGUGUUUAGGUACAUAGAUACCUAAACAAGCACCGCCAGACAGCGAAGGGCACCACGAGGAAGAGCGUGAUCUGCCCGAGUGACCAGAGCAAGGCCCGUCUCCACAGUGACCUUGGAGUGUCCAAUGACCUUCACAUUAAAUGCAGCUGUCCUCUGACUCCUUGGUGCAUCGUCUA
rnacentral:lncRNA from 1 species